UGCUAAACAGCUAACCCAAAACUCAAAAAACAACAGACCCAUAUAAAUAACCCCAAAAACUCUAAUAAAACACUAAACAAACCAUUUUUCCCCCUUAGUAUAGGCGAUAGAAAAG
rnacentral:rRNA from 1 species